UAAAUGCAUUUAUACUUAAUUAUGCCCCCCUUCGAAGAAGAGGGGGGUAUAUUUCUUUGCUCAUGUCGGUCGGUCGAUCUGUCGGUCAGUCCGUCCACCAGGUGGUUGUCAGACGAUAACUCAAGAAUGCUUGGGCCUAAGAUCAUGAAACUUCAUAGGUACAUUGAUCAUGACUCGCAGAUGACCCCUAUUGAUUUUGAGGUCACUAGGUCAAAGGUCAAGGUCAUGGUGACCCGAAAUAGUAAAAUGGUUUCCGGAUGAUAACUCAAGAAUGCAUACGCCUAGGAUCAUGAAACUUCAUGGGUAGAUUGAUCAUGACUCGCAGAUGACCCCUAUUGAUUUUGAGGUCACUAGGUCAAAGGUCAAGGUCACGGUGACCCGAAAUAGUAAAAUGGUUUUCGGAUGAUAACUCAAGAACGCAUAUGCCUAGGAUCAUGAAACUUCACAGGUAGAUUGAUCAUGACUCGCAGAUGACCCCUAUUGAUUUUGAGGUCACAAGGUCAAAGGUCAAGGUCACGGUGAC